rnacentral:rRNA from 1 species
AUUGAACGCUGGCGGCAUGCCUUACACAUGCAAGUCGAACGGUAACAGGUCUUCGGAUGCUGACGAGUGGCGAACGGGUGAGUAAUACAUCGGAACGUGCCUAGUAGUGGGGGAUAACUACUCGAAAGAGUGGCUAAUACCGCAUGAGAUCUACGGAUGAAAGCAGGGGAUCGCAAGACCUUGUGCUACUAGAGCGGCCGAUGGCAGAUUAGGUAGUUGGUGGGAUAAAAGCUUACCAAGCCGACGAUCUGUAGCUGGUCUGAGAGGACGAUCAGCCACACUGGGACUGAGACACGGCCCAGACUCCUACGGGAGGCAGCAGUGGGGAAUUUUGGACAAUGGGCGCAAGCCUGAUCCAGCAAUGCCGCGUGCAGGAUGAAGGCCUUCGGGUUGUAAACUGCUUUUGUACGGAACGAAAAGCCCUGGGUUAAUACCCUGGGGUCAUGACGGUACCGUAAGAAUAAGCACCGGCUAACUACGUGCCAGCAGCCGCGGUAAAAC